rnacentral:rRNA from 1 species
UACGGAGGGUGCGAGCGUUGUCCGGAAUCACUGGGCGUAAAGGGCGCGUAGGUGGCGCGGGCAGUCAACGGUGAAAGCUCGGCGCUCAACGCCGAGUCGGCCGUCGAUACUCCCGUGCUUGAGCACUGUAGAGGCAGGUGGAAUUCCGGGUGUAGCGGUGGAAUGCGUAGAGAUCCGGAAGAACACCGGUGGCGAAGGCGGCCUGCUGGGCAGUAGCUGACGCUGAGGCGCGACAGCGUGGGGAGCAAACAGG